UGCGCAGGUGGUUUCUUAAGUCAGAUGUGAAAGCCCCGGGCUUAACCUGGGAAUUGCGUUUGAAACUGGGAGACUUGAGUGUGACAGAGGGGGGUGGAAUUCCACGUGUAGCAGUGAAAUGCGUAGAGAUGUGGAGGAACACCGAUGGCGAAGGCAGCCCCCUGGGUCAACACUGACGCUCAUGCACGAAAGCGUGGGGAGCAAACAGGAUUAGAUACCCUGGUAGUCCACGCCCUAAACGAUGUCAACUGGUUGUUGGGGGAUUAACUCCCUUAGUAACGAAGCUAACGCGUGAAGUUGACCGCCUGGGGAGUACGGCCGCAAGGUUAAA
rnacentral:rRNA from 1 species